rnacentral:piRNA from 1 species
UUGGAGCCUUUCAACAGUUCAAAGUG